GCGACCUACCCAUGAGCAGGAUGAAGCGAAAGUAAAAUUUCGUGGAGGUCCGAACCCACGAGCGUUGAAAAGCUCGGGGAUGACUUGUGGGUAGCGGUGAAAUUCCAAUCGAGCCCGGAGAUAGCUGGUUCUCCCCGAAAUAGCUUUAGGGCUAGCCUCAAGGUGAGAGAUACGGAGGUAGAGCACUGAAUGUCCUAGGGGGUAUUGCACCUACCGAAGACUAUCAAACUCCGAAUGCCGUCAUCUUAUACUUGGGAGUCAGACUGUGGGUGAUAAGAUUCAUAGUCGAAAGGGCAACAGCCCAGAUCGUCAGCUAAGGUCCCUAAAUGUAAGUUAAGUGGUAAAGGAUGUGGGAUUGCACAGACAACCAGGAUGUUGGCUUAGAAGCAGCCACUCAUUCAAAGAGUGCGUAAUAGCUCACUGGUCGAGUGAUCCUGCGCCGAAGAUUUCCGGGGCUAAAACUUACUACCGAAGCUACGGCAUCAGUAAUGAUGGGUAGGGGAGCUUCCCAUACGGGUUGAAGCAUGACCGUAAGGACAUGUGGACAGUAUGGGAGUGAGAAUGUUGGCAUGAGUAGCGAGAUGUGGGUGAGAAUCCCACAGGCCGUAAACCCAAGGUUUCCAGGGGAAGGUUCGUCCGCCCUGGGUUAGUCGGGACCUAAGCUGAGGCCGAAAGGCGUAGGUGAUGGACAACAGGUUGAUAUUCCUGUAC
rnacentral:rRNA from 1 species